CAACCACCCGCGCGCUCACACGUUUCCCCCGCUCAGUUUCCAUGGCUCCGCUUUCCUACUUUUCCUCGGUCCUCAGGCUGUUCUGUCAUGUGGGUUUUUACUAGAGGAGCAGGGGUGGUGUUCUAAGAGAACUUAAAAUCCUAGAGGGAGGAAGGCGGCCGGGAAGCCUGUAUUACUUGUCACUGCCGUUACAAAGAGGCUCUAGGUAUCGUUAAAAAACAAAAGCCUAAAACCUCAAGGUUGGAACAUCAGCCAAGCCAAAUGUCAUAGAAAUACGUCUUGGAGCAGCUAAAUUCUAAGUAUGCGGUUUGCAUACUAUCCUUAAAGGACUUGAUCAGUUGAAGUGCGUAUAAAUGAAAAUCUAAAACCUGGUUUUCAGUGUCUUUAUUGACUAGUCUCAUUCGCUUAGUGUCAACGGCUUCUUCCAUGCACUAGGGUCUGAGAAAAGCAUAUAGCAUUAUAGACAUUUUAAGCAUCAAAACAACAACAAAAAAAAAUUCAAAAUAUUUUGUAGACUCUGGUUCGAGGUUUCUCCGCAAACUAUAUAUUUUUAAAAAUGGGCGAAGAGAGUUAAAUUAUCUUUGAGAAGUUCAAGUUACAGAAUUAAAUUAAAUCCAAUUUAUUGUUUAAAAUACAUUUACCCAAAAGAAGGGAAAAAUGGAGAGAGGGUGUAUGUUAAGGAAAAGAGAAAGCAGUAGAGAGAAACAGAUGUUCCUGAGAGUGUGCAGUUAACUGCCAAAGUAACUCAACAUGGAGUCACAGGAGCUUGAUUUGUGUGUGUGUGUGUGUGUGUGUGUGUGUGUGUGUGUGUGUGUGUGUGCACUUCCAUUGAUGGAAAGGGGGCAGUCACCACUAACCUCUUUAUUGUGUUUAGGAAGAUUUGAGAGGUAGGAAAGCUUCUCAAACAGGAUGUCUGUGCAUUUGAUCUGGUCUCCAUCAGCCUGGGAGCUGAUGCUGCUGUUUCAAGAUUUCCCCACUGCUUCCAGGCACAGCCAGGCUCAAGAUGUUUCCUGCCUUUUAAUGCUUUAGCUGGCAGAGAAAGGAACCCAAUCAAGACCCCCAAGUGGGACCAUUUUUGAGACCUUAUCCAGGAUUCCUUUUGAGGACCACCAACUCAUCCAGGUUGUCACUUAGAUGCUACUGUCUGGUUGUGACUUCAGCAAAUAGAACCUGGAUUUCACUCAGGUUGUUGUCCACUUCCACUGGACAUUGCCUGUGGUACAGAUGGCCCGAGGCAUCUUUUGCUGACGCAACAUCCCUCCCAGCACACGUCAAGAAUAUACUGUCACCAAAUGGUGGUGGUAUGUUCUGGACCAACGUUUUACCGUGAGCCCUUAGAUUAACUCUCCUCUGAGUCACCGUUGCUCCUCACUUCUCACCUUUUCUGUCAGCAGGUGAGCUUAUGACUAGCCGUCUAGCCGCUUUUCCCAUCCUCAAUCCUGCAUUCCGAUGGACGGUGGGGAACCUACUUGUCAGCACAUCAAUAUGCUCAACUCUAAAAAAAGAAAUGUCUGAGGAGACCAGAAGAGGACAUCAGACCCCCUGGAAUAGGAGUUAUAGGCAGUUAUGACCUACCUGAUGUAGCUGCUGGGAACCGAACCUGAGUCUUUUCAAGAUCGGAUAUUGAUGCAGACAUUGGCCUCGUGUUAUUAUUCUACCAAUAGAAGGAUCUGAAUAUAAAAAUCGAAGUUGAAAUGUCUGACCCUAAGCAGAAGAAUGCUUCGAGAGAUCUCCAACUGAAGACAGCACAGUUAAAGGCAAAAUGCAGACCAUGAAGCAGUAUAAAAGCCCUACGUGUGAAGAAUUGAAAUAGCCAGGGGAGGAUCAUCCGACCCCUGUCCUAGCGUAUUUUACCAAUGGUGAUGACACCCAUUCCUUGAAUUAGUGUUGGUGUGCUUGCCGCACAGGGCUUCUGAUCACUGAGCAAUAUUCAGACUUCCUUACUAAUGUGGAGCUGAAAUAUGACAUCAGAGCCAAUACAGAUGUCCUUAAGACGCUUGUAGAAUGUCAGAUGCGUGAAGUUACAUGAGGUGUCACACGAGUUUUCCUCUCUGAGAAGGAGCACCUACCUGUCAUGUCACCCAGAUGGUUGUAUGCCUAUAGGUGGCAGUCAUUCAGUCAUUCUCUGUGCUGGCUAGUUUCAUGUCAACUUGACAAAAAGUAGAGUCCUCGAAGAGGAGGGAACCUCAACUGAGAAAAUUUCCAUAAGAUUCGGCUGUAGGCAAACUUGUGUGUAGGGCAUUUUCUUAAUUAGUGAUUGAUGGGAGAGAGCGCAAUGCAUUGUGGGUGGAGCUAUCUCUAGGCUGGUGGUCCUGGGUUCUAUCAGAAAGCAGGCUGAACAAACCAUGUGGCAAAAAGCCAGUAAGCGGCACCCCUCCAUGGCCUCUGCAUCAGUUCCUGCCUCCAGUUUCCUGCCCUGUUUGAGUUCCUGUCCUGACUUCCUUCAGUG